rnacentral:rRNA from 1 species
UACGGAGGGCGCAAGCGUUGCUCGGAAUCACUGGGCGUAAAGGGGGCGUAGGCGGCCUUGCAAGUCGGGUGUGAAAGCCCUCGGCUCAACCGAGGAAUUGCAUUCGAUACUGCAAGGCUUGAGUAUGGUAGAGGGAAGCGGAAUUCCUGGUGUAGCGGUGAAAUGCGUUGAUAUCAGGAGGAACACCAGCGGCGAAGGCGGCUUCCUGGGCCAUUACUGACGCUGAGGCCCGAAAGCGUCGGGUAGCAAACCGG